rnacentral:tRNA from 1 species
GAGCCAAUGGUGUAACGACAGCAUAAGACGCUCCAAACGUUUUGGCGUGGGUUAAACUCCUACUUGGUUUGCCA